GAAGAAUUCGCUAAUAAGAACAGUUUGCCGUUGUGAAUUUUUUUUUCUGAAGUGGAGGAUCUCUAGACUGUUUUUCCUUGCCGUGGGAACGGUUCCUGUCCACUCUGCUGCCGGGAAGUACUUUCUGGUGUUGACUGGUUCAGUGCAGCAUCUCCAUUGAUGGAUUGUUAGAAAUGUUUCUGAUUCAACUGAAUGUGAAGAUUCUGCCUGUAGUGUGCAAUUCGAGAUGCACUGAACUGCAACUCCCAUUGCCUGAAUUAGAACUGGAAUUGUACUACAGUUUCGGGAAGGCUAUCCUUCAGCCUUGGGUUGAUGUUCUUUUUCUGUUAUUUAUUCAAGUGUAUGCCAUGCUAUAUAACUUCAUGGCACUUUCCUGAGUUGCAGAAUUCCAUUCCUUAUAUUUCUUUCAGCCCCCUUUACUUUCGGUCUCUACAUCUGUCUCACUGUUGCAUUAGUGUUUCCUGUUCAACUGAUCUUACCAUUUGAAGCAUCCUCUCUUUUGUGGCGCAUGCUUUCUUGGAACCUCUCUCAAACCAUUUGCAGUCAUAGAAGCAACCCAGGAUUAUUUUUCCACACAAAGAGUUUGAUACUUUUUCAGGAAUUGGCAGGUUAUGUCAUCACUCUGCUUAUCAGACUGGGUUUUGAAUUACAUGAUGUAAUUACUUAAAAAUGUGUCUUGCACGCACACGGUACUGAACAAAAUGUUCCACAGAGAUUUUCUGGAAUGCAACAUUUCUAGUCUAGUAAUCUUCUCCAAACUUGUAAUAGCCAAAUAGGAAAUUUAACUGGCAUUGGCUUGGAGAACUCAAGAUUGUACAGAUAUGUUCUUCACCGGGAGACCCGGAGAGCGUCUCAGUCUUUGGAAGACUUAUGACAAAUAGUAUGGGAAGCACUGAAGGUAUGAAAUAAUGAUGUAUUUUCCUGGAUGCACCACAAUUUAUUAGGGGGGAUUGGGGGUGAUGUGAAAUAUAAGAGAUGAACUUUUUGAUCUUCUUCAGAAACAAAACAAUAAUAAAGCAAGUCAGCUGGACAGGAAGCUCUUAAUAUACCAUUAUCCCAUGGGUUUCAUUUCCAAGUUUUCCCUGUCCUUCCCAAGAUACAGGAAUGAACACAAGAACAGUUCAUUGUGAUCAGGCCAAUUCUUGUAACAAUUCAAUAACAAUUCAAGAAUAGUUAUGAAUUGAAGGCAGACCUAUUGAUCACUGAACUGAAUCUACUUCCUCAAUAC